UAUUUUUUUUUUAAUUCUUACGUUGUGGGGUCAUGGAGGGGAAAUCAGAUACUCUUUAGUGGGAUUAAACUCAAAUUUUAUCCCUCUAUUUAGAAGACUAGUCCAUGAGUUAGUUAUUCUAUUAGGUGCUUGUGGAUAACUAAGUUUUUGAUGAUAUGAACAGUGUGGAUACUGGGGGUUCUAGUGAUGGAAGUGAUGGCAACACUGUGGGGAAAUUCUAUAUUGAAGCUAAGAAAAUUGAAAAGAUUAGAUGACGAUAUGAUAUUUUCAUCCUGUUUGGUUUUAUUGGUGUUUGUCCUUUAAUCUAAUUCUCUUCAGAUUUGAUGAAUAUAUGAGUUUGAAAUAACUUGGACUCUCAGAUGCUUGUCUGGCCACGUUAGCAUCUGGAGGUUAGUGAUACUGAUAUGCCACUUGCCUCCAUUGGCAUUCUUGUUGGUUGUGAGAAUUUCAUGCAUAUGUUUUGGUUCCAAUAUUCUUCA